UACGUAGGUGGCAAGCGUUGUCCGGAUUUACUGGGCGUAAAGAGCGCGCAGGCGGCCGAGUCAGUCGAAUGUGAAAGCCCCCGGCUCAACUGGGGAGGGUCAUUCGAUACUGCACGGCUUGAAGAUGGGAGAGGGAAGCGGAAUUUCAGGUGUAGUGGUGAAAUGCGUAGAUAUCUGAAGGAACACCAGUGGCGAAGGCGGCUUUCUGGCCCAUUCUUGACGCUGAGGCGCGAAAGCUAGGGGAGCAAACGGG
rnacentral:rRNA from 1 species